UAUUUCUGACUGGUUCAGUAACGCGUGAGAAUCUGGCCUCAGGACGGGGACAACGACUGGAAACGGUCGCUAAUACCCGAUGUGCCGAAAGGUGAAAGGAUUAAUUGCCUGAGGAUGAGCUCGCGUCUGAUUAGCUAGUUGGAGGGGUAAAGGCCCACCAAGGCGACGAUCAGUAGCUGGUCUGAGAGGAUGAUCAGCCACACUGGGACUGAGACACGGCCCAGACUCCUACGGGAGGCAGCAGUGGGGAAUUUUCCGCAAUGGGCGAAAGCCUGACGGAGCAAGACCGCGUGAGGGAAGACGGCCUACUGGUUGUAAACCUCUUUUGAUAGGGAAGAACACAAUGACGGUACCUAUCGAAUCAGCCUCGGCUAACUCCGUGCCAGCAGCCGCGGUAAUACGGAGGAGGCAAGCGUUAUCCGGAAUUAUUGGGCGUAAAGCGUCCGUAGGUGGAUAUUCAAGUCAGUUGUUAAAGCGUGGAGCUUAACUCCAUAAAGGCAAUUGAAACUGAAUGUCUAGAGUGCGAUAGGGGCAAGGGGAAUUCCCAGUGUAGCGGUGAAAUGCGUAGAUAUUGGGAAGAACAUCGGUGGCGAAAGCGCCUUGCUGGGUCUGCACUGACACUGACGGAC
rnacentral:rRNA from 1 species